AAAUCUUAGCGGUGGAUCACUCGGUUUGUGGAUCGAUGAAGAACGCAGCUAGCUGCGAUAAAUAGUGCGAAUUGCAGACACAUUGAGCACUAAAAAUUCGAACACACAUUGCGCCAUCGGGUUCAUUCCCGUUGGCACGUCUGGCUGAGGGUUGAA
rnacentral:rRNA from 1 species